UGAGGCCUGUGAUGAUCCGAUGUUUGCCUACAUUGUCUGAUUGCCAAUGAAGACACAAAGAUUCUUCUGAGGCCUCA